rnacentral:rRNA from 1 species
GAUGAACGCUGGCGGCGUGCUUAACACAUGCAAGUCGAACGAGAAGUGAAGACGGAAACCUUCGGGCGGAAGGCUUUAUUUCGAGUGGCGGACGGGUGAGUAACGCGUGGGUAACCUGCCUCAUACAGGGGGAUAACAGUUGGAAACGACUGUUAAUACCGCAUAAGACCACAGCACCGCAUGGUGCGGGGGUAAAAACUCCGGUGGUAUGGGAUGGACCCGCGUUCGAUUAGCCAGUUGGCGGGGUAACGGCCCACCAAAGCGACGAUCGAUAGCCGAUCUGAGAGGAUGACCGGCCACAUUGGGACUGAGACACGGCCCAAACUCCUACGGGAGGCAGCAGUGGGGAAUAUUGCACAAUGGGGGAAACCCUGAUGCAGCGACGCCGCGUGAGUGAAGAAGUAUUUCGGUAUGUAAAGCUCUAUCAGCAGGGAAGAAAAUGACGGUACCUGAGUAAGAAGCCCCGGCUAACUACGUG